rnacentral:rRNA from 1 species
GACGAACGCUGGCGGCGUGCUUAACACAUGCAAGUGGAGCGACGAACCAGGGCUUGCCCUGGGGCAGAGCCGCGAACGGGUGAGUAACACGUGGGUAACGUGCUCCGAUGACUGGGACAACUCGGGGAAACCCGGGCUAAUACCGGAUGUGCCCCCUCACAUCAGUGAGGUGUGUUAAGGAAUCUUCCUCUUCCGCAUCCGGAUCGGCCCGGGGCGCAUUAGCUUGUUGGUGGGGUAACGGCUCACCAAGGCUGCGAUGGGUAGCUGGUCUGAGAGGACGAUCAGCCACACUGGGACUGAGACACGGCCCAGACUCCUACGGGAGGCAGCAGUGGGGAAUCUUGCGCAAUGGGCGAAAGCGUGACGCAGCAACGCCGCGUGGGGGAAGACGGCCUUCGGGUUGUAAACCCCUUUCAGUUGGGACGAAGGUCGGGCGGUUAACAGCCGUUCCGGCUGACGGUACCUUCACAAGAAGCCCCGGCUAACUACGUG